AGGAACAAGGCAAAGGUCAGGGUGACCUGAGGCCAAGGAAGACUGGUUUUGAAGUUGUAUCUCGGUGACCGAUAGCGGACAAGUACCGUGAGGGAAAGGUGAAAGUACCCCGGGAGGGGAGUGAAAUAGAUCCUGAAACCGUGCGCUUACAAUCCGUCGGAGCCUCCUUGCGGGGUGACGGCGUGCCUUUUGAAGAAUGAGCCUGCGACGUUAGUGCUCAGUGGCGAGGUUAACCCGUGUGGGGAGGCCGUAGCGAAAGCGAGUUCCGAAUAGGGCGAAUGUAGUCGGCUGGGUCUAGACCCGAAGCGGAGUGAUCUACCCAUGGCCAGGUUGAAGCGACGGUAAGACGUUCGUGGAGGACCGAACCCACUUAGGUUGAAAACUGAGGGGAUGAGCUGUGGGUAGGGGUGAAAGGCCAAUCAAACUCCCGUGAUAGCUGGUUCUCCCCGAAAUGCAUUUAGGUGCAGCGUCACGUGUUUCGUCGACGCGGCC
rnacentral:rRNA from 1 species